rnacentral:lncRNA from 10 species
GUUGAGUGGUCCCCAGGAGCUGGAGGCCCUCAGUGCUACCCACUGCGUGGAUGAUAAAGAGGCCUCCAUUUCCCAUCAUAGCCCUGGCUGGAGAACAGGCUGGCAGCGCUUGCUAGGACUGGACAGAAGAGAAGGCAAGGCUGAGCAGGCUGACAGAUGAAGACAACCUCAUGCCUCCAGUUCCUUGAGAAGAAUUGCAAGGGCGGACUUGAAUCUUACGCUUCAGCCUCCUGAGCAACUCUGAAAGUUCCUGGAGUUUGGCAACAUUUCAUGGUGGAGAGAAAAGCAUCCCAAGGAUCUGUACAUAAAUAGCUGGUACACAUCGGUCUCAGGUGUAAACAGAAGGAAGUCCAAGGUAUGUUGCUCAUCCUAUAGUACAAAUGCAAGGAUUUGCAGGAAAACUGGG